rnacentral:rRNA from 1 species
AACGAACGCUGGCGGCAGGCCUAACACAUGCAAGUCGAGCGAAGCCUUCGGGCUUAGCGGCGCACGGGUGAGUAACGCGUGGGAAUAUGCCCUUCGGUUCGGAAUAACACAGGGAAACUUGUGCUAAUACCGGAUACGAUCUACGGAUGAAAGAUUUAUCGCCGAGGGAGUAGCCCGCGUAGGAUUAGCUAGUUGGUGAGGUAAUGGCUCACCAAGGCGACGAUCCUUAGCUGGUCUGAGAGGAUGAUCAGCCACACUGGGACUGAGACACGGCCCAGACUCCUACGGGAGGCAGCAGUGGGGAAUAUUGGACAAUGGGCGAAAGCCUGAUCCAGCCAUGCCGCGUGAGUGAUGAAGGCCUUAGGGUUGUAAAGCUCUUUCGCCAGGGAAGAUAAUGACGGUACCUGGAAAAGAAGCCUCGGCUAACUCCGUGCCAGCCGCCGCGGUAAAAC